rnacentral:rRNA from 1 species
UUUACUGUAGCCUGAUAUUGAAAUUCGGUACAGUUUGUACAGGAUAGGUAGGAGCCUUAGAAGCGUGAGCGCUAGCUUACGUGGAGGCAUUGGUGGGAUACUACCCUAAUUGUAUUGGAUUUCUAACCCGCAGCACUUAUCGUGCUGGGAGACAGUGUCAGGCGGGCAGUUUGACUGGGGCGGUCGCCUCCUAAAGAGUAACGGAGGCGCUCAAAGGUUCCCUCAGAAUGGUUGGAAAUCAUUCAUAGAGUGUAAAGGCAUAAGGGAGCUUGACUGCGAGACCUACAAGUCGAGCAGGGUCGAAAGACGGACUUAGUGAUCCGGUGGUUCCGCAUGGAAGGGCCAUCGCUCAACGGAUAAAAGCUACCCCGGGGAUAACAGGCUUAUCUCCCCCAAGAGUUCACAUCGACGGGGAGGUUUGGCACCUCGAUGUCGGCUCAUCGCAUCCUGGGGCUGUAGUCGGUCCCAAGGGUUGGGCUGUUCGCCCAUUAAAGCGGUACGCGAGCUGGGUUCAGAACGUCGUGAGACAGUUCGGUCCCUAUCCGUCGUGGGCGUAGGAAAUUUGAGAGGAGCUGUCCUUAGUACGAGAGGACCGGGAUGGACAUACCUCUGGUGUACCAGUUGUCGUGCCAACGGCAUAGCUGGGUAGCUAUGUAUGGACGGGAUAAGUGCUGAAAGCAUCUAAGCAUGAAGCCCCCCU